CAUGCAAGUCGAACGAUGGAUCCACUUCAGUGGGGAUUAGUGGCGAACGGGUGAGUAACACGUGGGCAAUCUGCCCUUCACUCUGGGACAAGCCCUGGAAACGGGGUCUAAUACCGGAUAUCGCUCCUGCAGGCAUCUGUAGGGGUUGAAAGCUCCCGCCGUGACAGAUGAACCCGCCGCCUAUCCACUUGGUGGUGAAGUAAUGGCUCACCCAGGCCACCACCGGUAACCCGCCUGAAAAGGCCAACGGCCACACUGGGACUGAAACCCCGCCCAAACUCCUACCGGAAGCAACCAUGGGGAAUAUUGCACAAUGGGCCAAAGCCUGAUGCAACCACCCCCCCUGAAGGAAGAACGCCUUCCGGUUGGAAACCUCCUUUCACAAGGAAAAAACCAAAGUGACCGUACCUGCCACCCCCGCUAACUACCUGCCCACCACCCCCGUAAUUCCUAAGGCCCCAACCUUUUCCCGAAUUAUUGGGCCUAAAGAACUCGUAAGCCGCUUGGCCCCUCCGGUGUUAAAACCCCGGGCUUUACCCCCGGUCCGCCUUCCAUUCCGGCCAGCUUAAAUUUUGUAAGGGAAAUCCGAAUUCCUGGAAUUACGGGCAAAUGCGCCGAAACCAAGAAGGAGAACUGUCGCCAAAGCCGAUUUCUGGCCCUUUACUGACGCUAAAAAGCGAAAUCUUGUCCAGCUAACACCAUAAGAUACCCUGUCACACCACCCCGUAAAGCGCCGGAAACUAGGUUGUCGCCAACGUUUCUUCCUCGUCAUUUCCGCACCUUACGCCUUAAUUCCACGACUUGGGAAUUUCCGCACCAAGGCUAAAACU
rnacentral:rRNA from 1 species